AGCGAACGCUGGCGGCAGGCUUAACACAUGCAAGUCGAGCGGGCAUCUUCGGAUGUCAGCGGCAGACGGGUGAGUAACACGUGGGAACGUACCCUUCGGUUCGGAACAACUCUGGGAAACUGGAGCUAAUACCGGAUACGCCCUUCUGGGGAAAGGUUUACUGCCGAAGGAUCGGCCCGCGUCUGAUUAGCUAGUUGGUGGGGUAACGGCCUACCAAGGCGACGAUCAGUAGCUGGUCUGAGAGGAUGAUCAGCCACACUGGGACUGAGACACGGCCCAGACUCCUACGGGAAGCAGCAGUGGGGAAUAUUGGACAAUGGGCGCAAGCCUGAUCCAGCCAUGCCGCGUGAGUGAUGAAGGCCUUAGGGUUGUAAAGCUCUUUUGUCCGGGACGAUAAUGACGGUACCGGAAGAAUAAGCCCCGGCUAACUUCGUG
rnacentral:rRNA from 1 species